rnacentral:rRNA from 1 species
GACGAACGCUGGCGGCGUGCUUAACACAUGCAAGUCGAACGGAAAGGCCCUGCUUUUGUGGGGUGCUCGAGUGGCGAACGGGUGAGUAACACGUGAGUAACCUGCCCUUGACUUUGGGAUAACUUCAGGAAACUGGGGCUAAUACCGGAUAGGAGCUCCUGCUGCAUGGUGGGGGUUGGAAAGUUUCGGCGGUUGGGGAUGGACUCGCGGCUUAUCAGCUUGUUGGUGGGGUAGUGGCUUACCAAGGCUUUGACGGGUAGCCGGCCUGGGAGGGUGGCCGGCCACAUUGGGACUGAGAUACGGCCCAGACUCCUACGGGAGGCAGCAGUGGGGAAUAUUGCCCAAUGGGCGGAAGCCGGAUGCAGCAACGCCGCGUGCGGGAUGACGGCCUUCGGGUUGUAAACCGCUUUCGCCUGUGACGAAGCGUGAGUGACGGUAAUGGGUAAAGAAGCACCGGCUAACUACGUG